AUUGCCUCAGUAACGGCGAGUGAAGCGGCAACAGCUCAAAUUUGAAAUCUGGCCCUAGGCCCGAGUUGUAAUUUGCAGAGGAUGCUUUUGGUGAGGUGCCUUCCGAGUUUCCUGGAACGGGACGCCAUAGAGGGUGAGAGCCCCGUCUGGUUGGAUACCGAGCCUCUGUAAAGCUCCUUCGACGAGUCGAGUAGUUUGGGAAUGCUGCUCAAAAUGGGAGGUACAUGUCUUCUAAAGCUAAAUACCGGCCAGAGACCGAUAGCGCACAAGUAGAGUGAUCGAAAGAUGAAAAGCACUUUGAAAAGAGAGUUAAACAGCACGUGAAAUUGUUAAAAGGGAAGCGUUUAUGACCAGACUUGGGCCGGUUGAUCAUCCAGUGUUCUCACUGGUGCACUCUGCCGGUCUAGGCCAGCAUCAGUUCGCUGCGGGGGAUAAAGGCGUCGGGAAUGUGGCUCCUCGGAGUGUUAUAGCCCUUCGUGUAAUACCCUGUGGUGGACUGAGGUUCGCGCUCUGCAAGGAUGCUGGCGUAAUGGUCAUCAACGACCCGUCUUGAAACACGGACCAAGGAGUCGUCUUCGUAUGCGAGUGUUCGGGUGUCAAACCCCUACGCGUAAUGAAAGUGAACGCAGGUGAGAGCUUCGGCGCAUCAUCGACCGAUCCUGAUGUUCUCGGAUGGAUUUGAGUAAGAGCAUACGGGGCCGGACCCGAAAGAAGGUGAACUAUGCCUGUAUAGGGUGAAGCCAGAGGAAACUCUGGUGGAGGCUCGCAGCGGUUCUGACGUGCAAAUCGAUCGUC
rnacentral:rRNA from 1 species